rnacentral:misc_RNA from 1 species
GAUGAAGAACGCAGCGAAAUGCGAUACGUAAUGUGAAUUGCAGAAUUCAGUGAAUCAUCGAGUCUUUGAACGCACAUUGCGCCCCCUGGUAUUCCGGGGGGCAUGCCUGUCCGAGCGUCAUUGCUGCCCUCAAGCCCGGCUUGUGUGUUGGGUCUCGUCCCCCUUCCCGGGGGGACGGGCCCGAAAGGCAGCGGCGGCACCGCGUCCGGUCCUCGAGCGUAUGGGGCUUUGUCACCCGCUCUGUAGGCCCGGCCGGCGCUUGCCGAUCAACCAAAACUUUUUUCCAGGUUGACCUCGGAUCAGCUAGGGAUACCCGCUGAACUUAAGCAUAUCAUAAGCGGAGGA